UACGAGGGGGCGAGCGUUGUUCGGAUUUACUGGGCGUAAAGGGCGCGCAGGCGGUCUUGAAAGUCAGGCGUGAAAGCCCCGGGCUUAACUUGGGAAUUGCGCUUGUGACUGGCGUGCUGGAGUGUGGCAGAGGAGGUGGAAUUCCACGUGUAGCAGUGAAAUGCGUAGAGAUGUGGAGGAACACCGAUGGCGAAGGCAGCCUCCUGGGCCAACACUGACGCUCAUGCACGAAAGCGUGGGGAGCAAACAGG
rnacentral:rRNA from 1 species